GAUUCAUCACUUUAUUACUUGAGAAGUCUCGUAUACUUGAGGAUUCCCCCAAUCAAGUUUUUGGCACCGUUACCGGGGAUUUGAUUUUUGUUUGAUAUUGAACGAUUGUUUGUUUGGUUAAUUUGGGCAUUUUAUUUUAUUUUCUUUUACCGUUUUACUUUGAGAAUUUGUUUAUAUUGUUUUUCAGGUAAUUUAUUUUAUGAGAAGGAAAAAAAGUGAAGAAAUCAAUUUAUUCUUUGAUCCAGAAAUAGAAAAGACAGCAAGAGCUUUAAGAGCAGAAGCUAAGAGAAGAAAAGCUGAAUUUGGAGCUCAACAACAAUAAGAAAGAGCACAAGAGCAAGAGCAAUUACAAGAAGAAAUGGCCAACAACAACAAUAACAACCGCUCUGUGAAGGAUCAUGCCUAUCCUAAUAUUGGAGAUUUCAUGCCAAGUAUCACAAGACCAAGGGUAGAAGCUAAUAAUUUUGAACUGAAGCCUGCACUUUGUCAGAUGGUGCAACAAUCACAAUUUGGAGGAAAUCCAAGUGAAAGUCCACAUGUGCAUCUAGCACACUUUCUUGAGAUCAGUGAUAUGUUGAAGAUAAAUGGAGUUUCUGAUGAUGCAAUUCGACUCAGAUUAUUUCCUUUUUCUCUGAAGGACCGUGCUAGAGAGUGGUUACAUUCUUUGCCACCGGGUUCUAUCACAACAUGGGAUGAACUUUCUCAAGCAUUUUUAGCUCAAUAUUUUCCACCAAGCAAGACAGCUAAGCUAAGAAAUGAGCUGACUUCUUUCAAACCUAGAGAUGAUGAGAGCUUGUAUGAAGCAUGGGAGAGGUACAAGGAUUUGCAAAGGAGAUGUCCACAUCAUGGGAUUCCUAAGUGGAUGCUUGUUCAACACUUCUACAAUGGGGUUUCACCAGCUAUUAGGAGUACAAUUGAUGCAUCAUCUGGAGGUGAUCUUAUGGAAAAAUCUGAAGAUGAAGCUUUUUCUGCUUUGGAUAAAAUUGCUUAUAACAACUACCAAUGGAGUUGUGAGAGGAAUGAGAUUAAGAAAACAGCUGGUAUGUUUGAGCUUGAUGCCAUGAAUAUGAUUAAUGCUAAGUUUGAUGCUUUGACAAGGAAGAUGGACAAGCUAAGCAUGAAAGUAGAUUCUUCAGCUGGAGGUUCUAGUAAUUCAGUAGAAGUUGGAGCUGCAAAUGUCAAUUGUGCAGUAGAUUUUUCUGUACUUAAUCAAGAUUUUUCAAGUGAGCAAGUGGAUUAUGUGGGGAACUACAAUCAAAGACCAGGUGGUAACCCAUUUUCUGCAACUUAUGAUCCAGCAUGGAGAAACCACCCAAAUUUCUCUUGGGGAGGUAGACAAGGGCAAAAUCAGAAUUUUCAGCAACCUUCUGGAUAUCAACAACAUCAGAAUUUUCAGCAGAAUAAAGGUCCUCCUCCUGGAAUUUCUAAACCUCAAAAUGCACCUGCUCCACCUCUACCACAACAAGCACAACUAGAUAAGACAGCUAGAUUGGAAUCUAUGAUUGAAACUCUACUUGUGAGCCAUUAAAGUCAACAAGAAAUGAUUUCUCAAUUAGCAUUUAAAGUGGAUCAAAUGGCAACACACAACAAGAUGUUAGAGAAUCAAAUAGCUCAACAAGCUAGCUCUUCAAGUAACAAAGCAUUUGGGAAGCUUCCUCGCCAACCAGAAAAUUCAAGGGAGCAUUGCAAGGCUAUUACAUUGAGGAGUGGAAAAAUAUUGGAGAAUGGAGAUAAAAAGAUUGAAGAGAAAAUUGAAGAAGAGAAAAAUAGAGAAGGAGAUGAACAAACUGAAGCUGGAGUUAGAAUUGGAGUUGAGAAAGAAAAUUCAGUGGAAGAAAAGGGAAGUAAGGAGAGGGAAAGCAAAAAAGAAGAACCUAAAUAUGUUGCACCUAAAGCCUACAUGCCAACUUUACUAUUCCCACAAAGGUUUCAGAAAGCAAAAUUGGAUAAACAAUUUGGGAAGUUUUUGGAGGUAUUGAAGUCUUUGCAUGUGACUAUUCCUUUCACUGAUGCUUUAGCACAAAUGCCUUCUUAUGCUAAAUUUUUGAAGGAGAUUUUAUCUAACAAGAAGAAAUUUGAGGAAUUUGAGACCGUAGCUCUUACGGAAGAAAGCAGUGCUAUUUUGCAAAAUAAGCUUCCACCCAAACUGAAAGAUCCUGGAAGUUUCUCCAUACCAUGUCACAUUGGGGAUAUCAGUAUAGAUAAGGCUUUAUGUGAUCUUGGAGCCAGUGUUAGUCUGAUGCCAUUGUCUAUCUAUGAGAAAGUGAAGAUUGGAGAAAUGAAGCCUACUACCAUUUCACUACAGCUAGCAGAUAGGUCUAUUAAAUUUCCAAUUGGGGUAAUUGAGAAUGUUCCUCUGAAAGUUGGAAAAUUUUUCAUACCAGUGGAUUUUGUGGUAUUGGAGAUGGAGGAGGAUGUACACAUUCCUAUUAUUCUUGGUAGACCUUUCCUUGCUACUGCUGGAGCUGUGAUUGAUGUAAAAAAUGGGAGGCUUACAUUAGAAGUUGGGGAAGAGAAAGUUGAAUUUAAUUUGUUUCAAGCAAUGAAAAAGAAAGAUGAUUCAAAUUCAUGCUUGAGAAUUGAUGUGAUAGAUGAAGAGGUCAGAGAAGUGCUUAAAAAGCAACAU
rnacentral:misc_RNA from 1 species